UACGUAGGGGGCAAGCGUUGUCCGGAUUUAUUGGGCGUAAAGAGCGUGUAGGCGGCUAGGUAGGUCCGUUGUGAAAACUCGAGGCUCAACCUCGAGACGUCGAUGGAAACCAUCUGGCUAGAGUCCGGAAGAGGAGAGUGGAAUUCCUGGUGUAGCGGUGAAAUGCGUAGAUAUCUGGAGGAACACCGGUGGCGAAGGCGGCGUUCUGGACUGUUACUGACACUGAUGAACGAAAGCCAGGGGAGCAAACGGG
rnacentral:rRNA from 1 species